GACAGAGGGUGCAAACGUUGUUCGGAUUUACUGGGCGUAAAGCGCGUGUAGGCGGCUUUGCAAGUCGGAUGUGAAAGCCCACGGCUCAACCGUGGAAGUGCAUCCGAAACUGCAUGGCUGGAGUCUCGGAGAGGAAGGUGGAAUGCUUGGUGUAGAGGUGAAAUCGUAGAUAUCAAGCAGAACACCUGCGGCGAAGGCGGCCUUCUGGACGAUGACUGACGCUGAGACGCGAAAGCGUGGGAGCAAACAGG
rnacentral:rRNA from 1 species